GCGGGGAUAGCUCAGUUGGGAGAGCGUCAGACUGAAGUAAUACUUCAUUCAAUUCAUUAAAUCUGAAGGUCGUGUGUUCAAUCCACACUCACCGCA